CGUACCUGAGCCACCUUGUGCCCAGGUAGCCAACAAGGCCAACAGCAUCCUGGCCUGUAUCAGCAAUAGCACAGCCAGUAGGGCCAGGGCAGUGAUCAUCCACCUGUACUGGACACUGGUGAGGCCGCACCUCAAAUCCUGUGUUCAGUUCUGGGCCCCUCAUUACAAGAGAGACACUGAGGUGCUGGAGUGGGUCCAGAGAAGGGCAACAGAGCUGGUGAAGGGUCUGAAGCCCAAUGUGAUGAGGAUCAGCUGAGGGAACUGGGAUUGUUUAGUCUGGAGAAGAGAAGGCUCAGGGGGGACCUUAUCACUCCCUACAACUACCUGAAAGGAGGCUGUAGUGAGGUGAGGAUCAGUAUCUUCUUCCUGACAACAAGCAAUAGGACAAGAGGAAACAGCCUCAAGCUGCACCAGAGGAGGUUUAGGCUGGAUAUGAGGAAAAAUUUCUUCACUGAGAAGGUGCUCAGGCAUUGGAACAGGCUGCUCAGGGCAGUGGUGGAGUCACCGUCCCUGGAAGUGUUCACAAACUGUGCAGAUGAGCUCCUCAGAGAUAUGGUUUAGUGGUGCUCUUGCAGUCCUGGGGUAACAGUUCCACUUGAUCUUACAGAUCUUUUCCAGCCUCGUUGGUUCUAUGAUUCUUUCCUUGUCACCUUUUCCAAGUUCACACUUUCUCUCCUGUAGCACUCUCCAGUUUGUAUCCCCCCCACACCACCUGAUUUUCACUCCUGCCAUACCACUGCUGCCUCAUUUCCUUGACACUGCCAAUCACAUCUUCCUCACCUGCCUCCCUAACUCUUCUUGCUUUUUACUGCCC